rnacentral:rRNA from 1 species
GCAAGUCGAGCGAGAAAAUUCCUUCGGGAGUGAGUACAGCGGCGGACGGGUGAGUAACGCGUAGGAAUCUACCUAGUAGUGGGGGACAACAGUCGGAAACGGCUGCUAAUACCGCAUACGCCCCAAGGGGGAAAGCGGGGGAUCUUCGGACCUCGCGCUAUUGGAGGAGCCUGCGUUGGAUUAGCUAGUUGGUGGGGUAAAGGCCUACCAAGGCGACGAUCCAUAGCUGGUCUGAGAGGAUGAUC